GACGAACGCUGGCGGCGUGCUUAACACAUGCAAGUCGAACGGAAAGGCCCUGCUUUUGUGGGGUGCUCGAGUGGCGAACGGGUGAGUAACACGUGAGUAACCUGCCCUUGACUUUGGGAUAACUUCAGGAAACUGGGGCUAAUACCGGAUAGGAGCUCCCGCUGCAUGGUGGGGGUUGGAAAGUUUCGGCGGUUGGGGAUGGACUCGCGGCUUAUCAGCUUGUUGGUGGGGUAGUGGCUUACCAAGGCUUUGACGGGUAGCCGGCCUGAGAGGGUGACCGGCCACAUUGGGACUGAGAUACGGCCCAGACUCCUACGGGAGGCAGCAGUGGGGAAUAUUGCACAAUGGGCGGAAGCCUGAUGCAGCAACGCCGCGUGCGGGAUGACGGCCUUCGGGUUGUAAACCGCUUUCGCCUGUGACGAAGCGUGAGUGACGGUAAUGGGUAAAGAAGCACCGGCUAACUACGUA
rnacentral:rRNA from 1 species